UACGUAGGGGGCGAGCGUUGUCCGGAAUUACUGGGCGUAAAGGGUGCGUAGGUGGCCUAUUAAGUUGGAUGUGAAAUACCCGAGCUUAACUUGGGGGGUGCAUCCAAUACUGGCAGGCUAGAGUGCAGGAGAGGGAAGCGGAAUUCCUAGUGUAGCGGUGAAAUGCGUAGAUAUUAGGAGGAACACCAGUGGCGAAGGCGGCUUUCUGGACUGUAACUGACACUGAGGCACGAAAGCGUGGGGAGCAAACAGGAUUAGAUACCCUGGUAGUCCACGCUGUAAACGAUGAAUACUAGGUGUAGGGGGUAUCAACUCCCCCUGUGCCGGAGCAAACGCAAUAAGUAUUCCGCCUGGGGAGUACGGCCGCAAGGUUGAA
rnacentral:rRNA from 1 species